UAGUUAGCUCAGUCGGUAGAGCGCACGACUCUUAAUGACGUAUGACAGAAGUGAAUAUCGUCACGUUACCAGCAAUCGUGUGGUCGUGGGUUCAAUCCCCACACU
rnacentral:ncRNA from 16 species